rnacentral:rRNA from 1 species
AUUGAACGCUGGCGGCAUGCCUUACACAUGCAAGUCGAACGGCAGCGCGGACUUCGGUCUGGCGGCGAGUGGCGAACGGGUGAGUAAUACAUCGGAACGUACCCUGUUGUGGGGGAUAACUAGUCGAAAGAUUAGCUAAUACCGCAUACGACCUGAGGGUGAAGGUGGGGGGCGGCAAGGCCUCACGCAGCAGGAGCGGCCGAUGUCUGAUUAGCUAGUUGGUGGGGUAAAGGCCCACCAAGGCGACGAUCAGUAGCUGGUCUGAGAGGACGAUCAGCCACACUGGGACUGAGACACGGACCAGACUCCUACGGGAGGCAGCAGUGUGGAAUUGUGGACAAUGGGGGCAAACCUGAUCCAGCAAUGCCGCGUGUGUGAAGAAGGCCUUCGGGUUGUAAAGAACGUUUGUCCGGAAAGAAAUCGCGCUGGUUAAUACCUGGCGUGGAUGACGGUACCGGAAGAAUAAGCACCGGCUAACUACGUG